AAUGGAAAUAGUUUUUUCUC
rnacentral:miRNA from 1 species